UGGGGAAUUUUGGACAAUGGGCGAAAGCCUGAUCCAGCAAUGCCGCGUGCAGGAUGAAGGCCUUCGGGUUGUAAACUGCUUUUGUACGGAACGAAAAAGCUUCUCCUAAUACGAGAGGCCCAUGACGGUACCGUAAGAAUAAGCACCGGCUAACUACGUGCCAGCAGCCGCGGUAAUACGUAGGGUGCGAGCGCUAAUCGGAAUUACUGGGCGUAAAGCGUGCGCAGGCGGUUAUGUAAGACAGAUGUGAAAUCCCCGGGCUCAACCUGGGAACUGCAUUUGUGACUGCAUGGCUAGAGUACGGUAGAGGGGGAUGGAAUUCCGCGUGUAGCAGUGAAAUGCGUAGAUAUGCGGAGGAACACCGAUGGCGAAGGCAAUCCCCUGGACCUGUACUGACGCUCAUGCACGAAAGCGUGGGGAGCAAACA
rnacentral:rRNA from 1 species